UUCUCUGUGGCGCAAUGCAUUACGCGUUGGACUGCUAAUCCAAACGUCGUGAGUUCGAAUCCCACCUGAGAUG